rnacentral:lncRNA from 1 species
AGCCCAUGAACGAACAUCACCUUGACCAGCUUCUUCUCUUUCAUUCAACAUUUGCUCCCACCAGAUUAGAGCAUACCCAUCGAACUCAAGAGCAGCCAAGGCAACCUUCUUUCUCUCAGAAUAAUUAUGCACACGAAAAAUUUUAUCCACCUUCAACUCCCAUGUAAGAUAUGCUUCAGGAUCAGAUCCUCCUUCAAACUGGGGCAUGGUCAAUUUUAACUUGCCAAACCUCUCUUCAUUGUGCUGAUUACGCCUACGAUUUCUUCGGUGACGACGAUCAUCAUAAUGGGGCUGUUCAUCCUCUUCUUCAGUUUCACUUUCUUCCAAUCCAAUUUCUCUCCCAUGUCCAUGACCAGCACCUCUACCACCAUGAUCACGUUGUGGAAA